rnacentral:rRNA from 1 species
GACGAACGCUGGCGGCGUGCCUAAUACAUGCAAGUAGAACGCUGAAGAGAGGAGCUUGCUCUUCUUGGAUGAGUUGCGAACGGGUGAGUAACGCGUAGGUAACCUGCCUUGUAGCGGGGGAUAACUAUUGGAAACGAUAGCUAAUACCGCAUAACAAUGGAUGACACAUGUCAUUUAUUUGAAAGGGGCAAUUGCUCCACUACAAGAUGGACCUGCGUUGUAUUAGCUAGUAGGUGAGGUAAUGGCUCACCUAGGCGACGAUACAUAGACGACCUGAGAGGGUGAUCGGCCACACUGGGACUGAGACACGGCCCAGACGCCUACGGGAGGCAGCAGUAGGGAAUCUUCGGCAAUGGGGGCAACCCUGACCGAGCAACGCCGCGUGAGUGAAGAAGGGUUUCGGAUCGUAAAGCUCUGUUGUAAGUCAAGAACGGGUGUGAGAGUGGAAAGUUCACACUGUGACGGUAGCUUACCAGAAAGGGACGGCUAACUACGUG